rnacentral:lncRNA from 1 species
AAGGAGACAGCCACGUGGGGACACGCCGGGCUAGCAGGCCUUUGCCAAGUGUCACUGCUCCGCAUAAGGGAAAAUCAGAGGAACAAGCAAGUGCAUCCAUCCUGCCUCUCUCCCCAGUGAACUGAUAAACCCAUCAGUCUUGUCCGUGGUGCACCUGUUACAUCCCCGGGCGAUGUUGGAGACUGUGGGGAACAGCGGCCACCGCCAAAUACUCAGCGACUGCCCUGUGCCUGGGCCCUGCAGGGAAGCGCGGGAAAGUGGCACAGGGCUGGACCCAGAGGAGCUCUCACAUGCUGAACUGGACUGUCAGGGGUCAUCUAGUCCAUUCCCCGCCUCCAGGUGAGGAUUUGCCUGAGCCUGAAGGAUUCUCCCAGCACUGUCAAGCCCCAGAUUCCAACUCCCUGUGGGUGGACUGUCAGCACAGGCCCUGACAACACAGAGAAAGACACAGGACCCAGCUGGGCCAGUGACAGCAGUAGCUCCUGGUGCCACAGGUGAGGGUGGGGAUGCCUGGAGCACCAUGGGGGUCCUUGUUUAGUCUACAGCAGGGUCUUGAAAUAGGUUAUAAGUGUUACAUCUUGACACAGUGUACACAUGCUGACACACAUAUUAAAACAACUUUUA